rnacentral:tRNA from 1 species
GCAUUGGUGGUUCAGUGGUAGAGUUCUCACCUUCCAUGCCGGAGACCCAGGUUCAAUUCCCGGCCCAUGCA